ensembl:lncRNA
CACACACACACACACACACACACACACACACACACACACACAUAUCCAGUAUUCAUAAAGCUGGCAACACCGCAGGGAAUACCGGCACAGAGAAAAGCUGCAGGGGAUCACAGCUCUGUACCGGGGCAGGUGACUCGGGGGUGUUCUAUCCCCUCUCAGGGAGCGUGUUGAGGUAGUGGGGUGCUGUUCCAGACAAGGUCUUGUAGAUAAAGAGGGGUGUGACAUGGGUUCUUCUGGGCUGGUUGAAAACACGGCGUGCUGCUGCAUUCUGAAUCAUCUGAAGGGGUUUGAUGGAGCUGACUGGGAGGCCCGGGAGUAGCACAGUGCAAUAGUCCAAUUUAGAAAUAACGAGCCUGGACUACAGUGAGGGAAAAAAGUAUUUGAUCCCCUGCUGAUUUUGUACGUUUGCCCACUGACAAAGAAAUGAUCAUUCUAUAAUUUUAAUGGUAGAUUUAUUUGAACAGUGAGAGACAGAAUAACAACAAAAAAAUCCAGAAAAACGCACGUCAAAAAUGUUAUAAAUUAAUUACUAUAUUGAAUACUUUUUUCCCUCACUGUAGUUGCUAUGUAGCCUGUUCAGUGAGAUAGGGCUCAGUGGGUUCAGUGAGAUACCUCUUAAUGUUAUAUCCACACCUGAUGUUAAAUUCACCCCCUAAAGUUAUAUACACACACUCCUAACAUUAUUUCCAUUCCCAUAAUCUAUAUCCAUCCCCCUAACCUGAUUGGAAAGCUGAGCUUGCUGGUACUAAACACCUCCCUCUACAAUUUGAUCCUGGACUUCCUGGACUUCAGUUAGUCUGGAUUGGGAGCAGCAUCUCCAGCACCACCACACUGAGCACUGGGGCCCCCCAGGGCUGUGUGCUCAGUCCACUGCUGUUCACUCUGCUGACUCAUGACUGUGCAUCAAUGCACAGCUCGAGUCAACUCAUCAAGUUUGCAGAUGACACGACUGUGUUGUGUCUCAUCAGCAAGAAUGACAAGUCGGCAUACUGAGAUGAGGUGCAGCGGCUAACAAACUGGUGCAGAGUAAACAAUCCGUCUCUGAAUGUGGACAAAACCAAAGAGAUAGUUGUUGACUUCAGGAGAGCACAAAGCGACCACUCUCCACUGAACAUCGACAGCUCCUCUGUGGAGAUCAUCAAGAGCACCAAGAGAACCUCACCUUGUCCCUCAACACCAGCUCCAUAACCAAGAAAGCAUCCUGAGCAGCUGCAUCACUGCCUGGUUUGGAAAUUGCACUGUUUCGUAAUGCAAGACCUUGCAGAGAAUAGUGAAAGCAGCUGAGAAGAUCAUCGGGGUCUCUCUUCCCUCCACCACAGAAACCACCCGCUGCAUCCGCAAAGAUGAUGAUUCGACACACCGCCACACAAACUCUUCAUCCUCCUGCCGUCUGGCAAAAGAGAAGGCGAGGAAGAAGAUGGAGAAAGAAGAGGAGGAGACAUAAGGCCUAAUCACAGCUCCACCUGUCUCCCUCAUUGGCAACACCAGACAGGAACUUGGCCAUGGACAGAUCUGGCUGUGCGACAGAGAGAGAGAGAGAGAGAGAGAGAGAGAGAGAGAGAGAGAGAGAAGAGAGAGAGGAGAGAUAGAGAGGAGGAGGGAGGGAGGGAGGAGAGAGAGAGAGGGAGGGAGGGAGGGAGGGGAGGGAGAGGAGGGAGAGGAGGGAGAGAGAGAGAGAGAGAGAGAGAGAGAGGGAGGGAGAGAGAGAGAGAGAGAGAGAGAGAGGGAGGGGAGGGAGAGAGAGAGAGAGAGAAAGAGAGAGAGGGAGGGAGGGAGAGAAGAGAGAGAGAGGGAGAGAGAGAGAGAGAGAG